GACGUAGGGCGCGAGCGUUGUCCGGAUUUAUUGGGCGUAAAGAGCUCGUAGGCGGCUUGUUGCGUCGACCGUGAAAACCCGCGGCUUAACUGCGGGCUUGCGGUCGAUACGGGCGGGCUGGAGUUGUCGGUAGGGGAGACUGGAAUUCCUGGUGUAGCGGUGAAAUGCGCAGAUAUCAGGAGGAACACCGGUGGCGAAGGCGGGUCUCUGGGCAACUGACUGACGCUGAGGAGCGAAAGCGUGGGGAGCGAACAGG
rnacentral:rRNA from 1 species